rnacentral:sRNA from 1 species
GCUAAAGAUCAACACAUUUUAGAUGAACUACGAAAAGAAAAUAAAAACUUACUGACGAUUCGUCCAAAGACCAACAUCAUUUAGAUGAACUUAGAAAACAAAUCCAAAAACUUACUGACGAAUCUGCUGAGCUCAUGCAACAUUUGGACAACUCAAAAGAAAGUAUUGAAAAGUUAAAGGAAGAAAAUGGUAAAUAU